GACGAACGCUGGCGGCGUGCCUAAUACAUGCAAGUUGAGCGCUGAAGGUUGGUACUUGUACCGACUGGAUGAGCAGCGCACGGGUGGGUAACGCGUGGGGAAUCUGCCUUUGAGCGGGGGACAACAUUUGGAAACGAAUGCUAAUACCGCAUAAAAACUUUAAACACAAGUUUUAAGUUUGAAAGAUGCAAUUGCAUCACUCAAAGAUGAUCCCGCGUUGUAUUAGCUAGUUGGUGAGGUAAAGGCUCACCAAGGCGAUGAUACAUAGCCGACCUGAGAGGGUGAUCGGCCACAUUGGGACUGGGACACGGCCCAAACUCCUACGGGAGGCAGCAGUAGGGAAUCUUCGGCCAUGGACGAAAGUCUGACCGAGCAACGCCGCGUGAGUGAAGAAGGUUUUCGGAUCGGAAAACUCUGUUGGUAGAGAAGAACGUUGGUGGGAGUGGAAAGCUCAUCAAGUGACGGUAACUACCGAGAAAGGGACGGCUAACUACGUG
rnacentral:rRNA from 1 species